rnacentral:lncRNA from 1 species
AUGUUUUACAUGGGGAUGAAUGUCUCAAAGGGAGGGUCUCUUUGCCCACGUUUUCCAGACAGGACUUGCUAGCCAAGCUGCUUCUACAGGAGCCUUCUCCAAUACCAUUAUUCUCCAUUUUGACCCUGACUGGUUCUACAGAGCUAAAAUGCUACGUAUCUAGUAAACUGCCUUCAGAGCACACCUGCAUGAGAGGUGGUGCUCUCUGAAGUGAAAAGCUUAAUGAGCAAAUAUUGAAGGAAAGAAUAACCUCAGGGGCAACUUUCUCAGCCUGAACCUGUCCUGCUUCUCAGCUUGCCUUUACUGGGUCAGGAAAAUUAAUUAACUAAAGUUGUAAGUUGAAAAAGACUUGACUAAACUGCAUUAGACCCCCCCCCAGUGUGGGACACUAAAUUAAAUUUUAUUCUCAGUGAAGUAAGGCAAAAUGAACUAAUACCACUUUGAUUCAGAAUGAGAGUAUCACACCUGAGCUUCAUGAAUGUAAGUAGCCUUCUUUUAAUAUACAGCUUUAGUUAAUUCAGAUCAGUUUUCCUAAGUGUCUUCAGCUUCUCCAAGUGCAGAUUGGCUAGUUAAGGCAUAUUAAGUGCAGCCAGAAAGAGCUAUAACCAGUACAAUAUUUUUUUAUCACUUAGACUUUGUGGUGGAAGGGACCUCACAAUUAAUCGUAUGUUAAGUAUUAUCUGCUGUCAAGUAUUAGUUGAAGACUUUAGUAAUUGAAAUGCCAGGAAGAUAGUCACUGGCUCUGUAGUCAUGCUUUCACAUUCCUAGCUACAUGCCCACUGGCACCAGGUGCUACUCAGACAUAAAAUGACACAGUCCCUGCCUCAUCCUACUAAACGGAGUCUUAAAUUGAGCAUCCAUGUUAUACCCUUAAAGAGAUACUGCACUGGAUUUUUCCAGUGCCCUUUGGGAAUGGAUCUAGAACCUAUCACUGCUGAUUUGUAGGGACUGAAAGUCAUCAGAUGGCUGCUCAGAGUUGUGCAGUAUUUGGAAUGAAACCACCCUCUCAUUUCAGUUCUUCUGAGUGGACAAGGUUUCCAUUCACACCAAUAGUCAUAUUUGGUCUAAUAUUCAGAUCUGACUACUAGUGGCAACUUCUCGGAGAAGUUUUGCACAAACAAAAAGGAAAACCAAACAGGCUAUAGGAAGCAUAGCUCUGUUGG